AUGUCUCCAAACUCCAUCGUGUGGACUUUGUUUCAGUUUACAACAAUAUAUAUUUAUGAGGUGUGCUCGCUGCCGCCGCCGCCGCGCCCCCGUCCCCCUCUCCCCGGUGCCCGUCCUCUUUCCACCGUCGCCGAAUCCGGACGAGACCGGCAGGAUCCGCCGCAUCUCACGCCCGCGGCCCGCCGUGGCUUUCGGCGGCAUCGGGGGCGCCGGUCCGCCCCCGCUCCUCCGGGGCUGGCAGAACGGCGGAGCGGCGCUCUGGUCAGGUUCCUCUGCUUCGAGGGCGGCGCGUGGGCUGAUGUCGAGGGCGAGGCGGCUGUGCCUCUGCGCCGGGCGUUCCUGGACGGGAGGGUGGUCGCAGAGGCCGCGUAUGGCGGCAGGGAGUUCCUGUUCGACUUCUUGUGGAUGGUGCGCAUCGACGCUGGCACCGCCGAGGUGGUCGCCAUGGGCUGGAUUGACCGCGGGGCCUGCUUCUUCCCUGUGCCAGAAAGCGGGAGGAAGAGGAAGAGGGGCGAGCAUGAGCUGGGGGACGGGGCCUCGUCCGAGGUGGAUGAGAGGUCCGACGAGAGCAGCGACGUGGUGGAGUCCUCAAUCCAGCCUAAUCUCCUGCCACUCUCAAGCACUCCCCGUGCAGCAGGCCUGAUGUGUAGGCUGCCAUGGCAAGGCUACAUCCAUGCAUUCGAGAGCGGGAUGAAGAGGAAGAGAGGCGAGCCUGAGCUGGAGUACGGGGCCUCGUCCGGGGUGGAUGAGAGGUCCAAAGAGAGCAGCGACAAGAUGCAGGGCCAGCUCCUAGCCGCUGCGCGCGGCGCCGACGGGGGCAAUGCCAAGUUCGCGUGGUAUGGCGCUCCAUCGGUGGAUGUGGCCGCGGCGGCGGUGGAGUACGGGUUCGGCAGGAUGAACAACCGGGUCCUUUUCCAUCGCGCGCACGGCGACGACGUCCACCUCUCGCCGCCUCGGUCUCCUUAUGCCAGUGCAAUGCUAGCAAAUGCAGAUGAGAACGGCGAGGCGCAUAUCAUGUUGUGCCGUGUUCUGUUGGGCCGGCCAGAGGCCAUCCCGGCCGGGUCCUCCAAGCUCCACCCCAGCAGUGACAAUUACGACAGUGCCAUCGACAACAUGCAGAAUCCACAGUGGUAUGUUGUUUGGGGCAAGGACAUGAACAUGAGGAUCCUCCCAGAGUACGUCGUCAGCUUCAAGUGUCCCAACCUCCAUCAGAUGCAAGGAUCAUCGGGAGCGAACUCCACGCUAAAGAAGCCUUCACCGGUGGCUCAUGACAUGUUUCCGACGCUUCUAGCAGAGAUCCAGUGGUUCAUGCCAUCUUCCAAGCUGCAGACAUUGCAGGGGACCUACAAUUGCUUCAAGAAGAAUGUUCUAUCAAAGCAACCAUGUCUGAUAUGUUCACAUGAAUUCUUUCAUGUGGCCGUCCCUCACAUUCCUUUGCUUUCAACUAUUCCAGCCAGCUGCAAUGAAGUCCUCCAUAGAGAAGGGUUUGCAGAAAAUGAUCUUGGCAUCCCAGAUAAGCAGGUCGGGGUCAAAGCCGGUGCCCAGGGGAUUUCAAUGGAUCACCAACACGAGAAACUGAAAUGGCAGGACCAGAAAAGAUGGUCCCAGAUCUCACUGCAGCCAGAUGUGCAAGAACACAUCAAUGAUCAUCUGUGA
rnacentral:rRNA from 1 species